rnacentral:rRNA from 1 species
AGGAAAAGAAACUAACAAGGAUUCCCCUAGUAACGGCGAGUGAAGUGGGAAAAGCUCAACUUUGUAAUCUGGCUCUUUCAGAGUCCGAGUUGUAGUCUCGAGAAGCAUCAUCCGCGCCGGACCUUGGAUAUGUCUGUUGGAAAACAGCGUCAUAGAGGGUGACAAUCCCGUUUGUGCCAAGGACGCCCGUGUGCAUUGCGGUGUGCUUUCUAAGAGUCGAGUUGUUUGGGAAUGCAGCUCAAAUUGGGUGGUAAAUUCCAUCUAAAGCUAAAUAUUGGCGAGAGACCGAUAGCGAACAAGUACCGUGAGGGAAAGAUGAAAAGCACUUUGGAAAGAGAAUGAAACAGUAUGUGAAAUUGCUGGAAGGGAAACGUUUGAAGUUAGACUUGCUUUUGUCACAUUCAGCCUUUUAGGUGUACUUGUGGCUUGUGCAGGCCAGCAUCGGUUUGCUUUGCGGUAUAAGGGUGCAUGGGAUGUAGCUGCCUCGGCAGUGUUAUAAACUUGCACUGGAUGCCGAAUCGCAGACCGAGGUUCGCAGCGCGCCUUUUUUGGCAAUGGGCUUGCCCAUCGAGCGCUUAGGAUGCUGGUAGAAUAGCUUUAACCGACCCGUCUUGAAACACG